UCCAUGUUUAGUCUAAAGCUUUACUUUGUCUUUGCUCUAAUUUCUGUUCUACCUCCUAAAUCGUACAUAAUUUUAAAAAUACAUGUCUCACAAACAGACCCUUGCUCUAGAAAAAUAUAUAGAAAACCAGAUAGCCUGUGACAAAGAUCUAAUCUUUCAAUACAAAGUAUUGAUAUCUAGCUUCUGAAAAAGAAUUGUAUAUUAUAUUUCAACAACAACAACAAUAGUAACAUACCUAGUGAAAUCCCAGAAAGUGGGAUCUGGGGAGGGUAGAGUUGGGAGGUAGAGAGGUUGUUUUCGGUAGACCCUCGGCAAUUGUAUAUGAUAUUUCGUAUGGAAUAUAAUGGUCUCUUGUUUUCUUAUUCCCUUAUUUCGUAUUACAAAUAAUUUGAGUUUAUCUGCUUCUAUCUCAUUUUGUGUUUUUUGUUUCUGUUUCGUCUACACAUGUUACCGCUAUGUAAUUUGAAAAUAUCAAGAAUGUUGGAAUUUGUUGAUUCCUGAUUGUUUACUUAGAAUUUAAAAUUUUCUAAGAUUUAAAAAGUUAAAACUUGGUUCCCAAUUUGAAGGUUUCCUCAUCUAUUCUGUCUAAUUGACAAACAAUAGUAAUGUAGCUUCAUCUCCUUACUAUAGUAUGUUCCUCUUUUGGUAAAUGUCUUCAGUUAGGAAGCUGCAAGUACUUCUACAACCUUUGAACAAAGCCAUUUCCAAUCUGCUUUGCUUCACCUAUGUGUUCUUUGAAUUCCAUCUAUUUUUUGGAAAUUUAUGGCCGCUUUUUCUUGAAAAUAUUCACAAUCUAUCUGAUUUAACAUGUAAAGAAAGACAAUAGCAAGUUUAGCAACUCUACAUUAAUACCUGUCCAUGGAAAUUAAUCUGGCAUACCUUUUUAGUACCUGGAAAGAACACCUUUAUAAGCAUCAGCUAUUCUAAGAUUUUUGAACAAUGAUACAUAUUUUCUGUAAGGAGUGUGCCUUCAUUGCUAAGUUCAUGUGCUUAUCAUAAUUCUAUCAUACCGAUGAUUGCAUUAUUGUAGAUGCAAAAAUGAUUUUAUUUAAUGAGUCAAAGUUUAGAGAAUAUUGCUAAAACACUAUUUAUUAUCAAAAAAAAAAAAAAAAGUUAAGAGAAUAUUGGCUAUGCAGCUGGAGAAAAAAUGUUGGAACUCUUAUGCAUGGAAAAAGAAAUGAAAAUUUUGUUUGCGGUUUACUCAUCCCUACUCUAUUUUACAUUUAACUUAACGAUAAUUGGUGAAUGUAAAUCUGUUUGAGGCUUUACACUUAUAUUAUAUGAAUCAAAAUGUUUAUCAAAUUUUCCCAUGAGUUGAAAUAUCCUAGAGCUAACAUGUUACAUUAUCAACUUUUUCAUUAAAAGGUUGGAUGUCGAAGAUGGGAAAGGUAUACAUCUUGAAGUGUAAGAAAAUUGGAUUCCUGGUGUAUUUGUGUCACAGCAACAAUAACAUUCCAGAAGAAAGUGAAAAUGCUCAAUUUGCAUUACCAUCCUUCCCCAUAGAUUCAAUUAGUGUGCCUAGACUUCUACUUUCUCAGCGACUUUCUUGCCUUACCAAAAGAUUUUCAGUUUUAGUUCUGUUUUCAACUACCGAUGGGAGAAGGCUUAGAAUAAAACUGAUGAACCAUGAAAUUCUCACAUAUUUUACAGCAACAUAUUCUCCUUUGUCAUUUACCUUAGCAGGUAUUGGUCACCACUUGCAAUCUUCAUUUGCGUGUGAAGGAAACUGAAUCUUGUGUUACCAGUUGAUUAAGGUUGAAUUUGAACUUAGUAAAGCAGUCUUUGAAGCUCGGCGAAAAUGAAAGGUUUACCACGACAUUCUGAUCCAUGAUUUACUAACUCAAAAGGUAUGUUAUUUACUUCUGCUUCUGCUGCACAACAUUAGGAAACAACAUAUCUCUAUCAUUUAUAAUUGUGUUGAAGAAUUAUGUUUCAAAUGUAGUUUUAAUAUAUAGGUUCCAGAUUAUACUACCUAUAAAGUUAAUUCAAAAUCAUAAACUAUUUGGAACAGGAAUGUCUGGGAAACAAAGAUAUAACGGAUUUACCGCGGGACCUCACAGGGUUACUACUUUGUUACCCGUGGUAUUCUCCGUGCAAAAGACUUGCUGGUGCUAAAUUGCUAAUUUCAGCUCUUUCUCGCCUAAACGAUUUUCAGUUGUGCUCUAAAGAUAUGUCACACGUUUUAUCAUAUCUGAAUUUUCUGAAAAUGAGAUACUUUGCUGGUUUUUAUAAAAGAAUAGGUUGCUAAAUCUCAAUGUAGGUUUCCACUACUUUGGUUGGACUAAAUGUAAUUGUCUUGCCUGAAAUUGUGCUCUUUCUGAUUACUUCCUCAUAAAGCAAAUGGGGUUUUAAUAGCAUGUAUCAGGCUGAAGAAGCUAUACGUAAUGGGAACAGAACAUCCAAACACAUAAUUAAUCGAGUCGAAAAUGGAGUACUCUGAUAAAUAACAAUAAUACCGGAUAGACCAGCUAAGCCAAAAUAUCUAUUUCAAAAUUCACGACAUAUUUGAAAGUUGAGGUAUUGUGUUAGUAUAAUUGGUUGUGCUUUUAUAUAUUCUUUUAAUUUAAAGACAGAGUAUACUUUCAUUGACUUGGUCCGAAUUUGGGAUCUUCAUACAUUUCACUUACCUUACAAAUAUGGUACAUAUCUCAUCGUUAGUUUUUUGUUGUGAACUCUAGAAAGGCCAUGCCUUCAAUUUUAUCCCGAAUAAGUAAAGUACCUGUCUUAUGAAGAAAAGAAAGUAUUUGCAGACCUUGAUGAUACAUCAAUUGGACAGAGGACAGAGGUCUUGAGGUUCUUUUGUAUGGUAACUAUUCCUUUUGAGGUAGUUCCUUAGGAUUAUGCUUCUCUGCUGCAAAAUGAUUUAGAUCCAUUUACCACUGGAGUGUGUGCGUGCGUGCAUGUUUUUGUGUGUGUGUGUGAUAAUACAAUUCCAGUUGUGCAGAUUUCUGAGGCCUCAGACAGUGGUGCACCAUCAUAAAUUAAGAAAAUUUUGAAACUCAAAAGCAAACACAAUGUGUUGUCUACAGCUUUCAAGAUGAAGGAGAAACUAUAGUCUGCGGUGGACGAAUUUGGUCAGCAAACACAACGCACUAUUCCUAUUGACAAAUGCCUAUGAUCUGUAGUCUGUACAAUUUGAUAACCGAGCAAAAUUACAGAAAAGUUGUUGUUCAUUUCACGGUAUUCUACAUGCCCAACUUUUCAAGAUUCGAUCGAUUUCCAAUUUCUGGAGGAAUUGUGCCUUCAAACAUGUUCUUACUAAGAGACAAAUGUUUCAACUUUGUAAGCUGAUCAAUAGAUUUUGGAAUGGUACCAUUGAAACAAUUCGCGAUGAGAUCCAAAAAAGUUAGCCUAGAUAUUCGAUGAAUAUCCGUAGGGAAUGGUCCAUAGAACUGGUUACCAGAAAGAUCAAGAAUUUCCUGUCGUGAACACUUGUACAAAACUGUUGGAAGUUCACCUGAUAAGUUACUAUCCGCAAGUUCAAUAUCUACAAGAUUUUUGAGUUCACAAA